GACGAACGCUGGCGGCGUGCUUAACACAUGCAAGUCGAACGCUGAAGCUCAGCUUUUGUUGGGUGGAUGAGUGGCGAACGGGUGAGUAACACGUGAGUAACCUGCCCCCUUCUUUGGGAUAACGCCCGGAAACGGGUGCUAAUACUGGAUAUUCACUGGUCUUCGCAUGGGGGUUGGUGGAAAGGGUUUUUCUGGUGGGGGAUGGGCUCGCGGCCUAUCAGCUUGUUGGUGGGGUGAUGGCCUACCAAGGCUUUGACGGGUAGCCGGCCUGAGAGGGUGACCGGUCACCUUGGGACUGAGAUACGGCCCAGACUCCUACGGGAGGCAGCAGUGGGGAAUAUUGCACAAUGGGCGCAAGCCUGAUGCAGCGACGCCGCGUGAGGGAUGGAGGCCUUCGGGUUGUGAACCUCUUUCGCUCAUGGUCAAGCCGCAACAAUGGUUGUGGUGAGGGUAGUGGGUAAAGAAGCGCCGGCUAACUACGUG
rnacentral:rRNA from 1 species